ACUUUAUAAAUAGAGAUAGGUGCCCUAAGGGGCUUAAUAGGGAAGUCCGGUUUCAUGCCGGCGCGGUCCCGCCACUGUAAUGAGGAGCGAACCCAAGGUAUACCACUGAGGCGAAAGUUUUGGGAAGGUUUGGGGAAGCGAUGAUCCAGAGCCAGGAGAACUGCCUAUUUGAUAAUCACCGU
rnacentral:ncRNA from 2 species